rnacentral:rRNA from 1 species
GUGUUAAGUGGAAAAGGAUGUGGGAUUUCAAAGACAACUAGGAUGUUGGCUCAGAAGCAGCCACACAUUCAAAGAGUGCGUAAUAGCUCACUAGUCGAGAGGUCCUGCGCCGAAAAUGUCCGGGGCUGAAACACGACACCGAAGCUGCGGAUUCAUCGUAAGAUGAGUGGUAGAGGAGCAUUCUUAAAGGGGCGAAGCAGUACCGAUAAGGAGCUGUGGACUUUUAAGAAGAGAGAAUGCCGGAAUGAGUAGCGAGAUGGAGGUGGGAAUCCUCCAGGCCGAAUAUCUAAGGUUUCCAGAGUAAAGCUGAUCUGCUCUGGGUAAGUCGGGGCCUAAGGCGAGGUCGAAAGACGUAGUCGAUGGAUAACAGGUUGAAAUUCCUGUACCGCAUGUAAUCAGAACUGUGGGGACACAGGACGAUAAUCAGACCCGGGAAUGAAAAGACCGGGGCAAGCGAAGUAGGUGUGCAGUUGGCAAAUCCGCUGCAUAAGCCAAAGGCGUGAUGCGUACCGAACAAAAGUAGGGAAGCUGAUGAUUCGAACUGUCAAGAAAAGCCGCUAUCGUGUUACAUGUGCCCGUACCGUAAACCGACACAGGUGGAUGAGGAGAGAAUCCUAAGGCCGGCGGGAGAAGCAUUGUUAAGGAACUCGGCAAAAUGACCCUGUAACUUCGGGAAAAAGGGUGCCUGCGAGAGCAGGCCGCAGAGAAUAGGCUCAAGCAACUGUUUAGCAAAAACACAGGUCUAUGCAAAACCGAAAGGUGAGGUAUAUGGGCUGACGCCUGCCCGGUGCUGGAAGGUUAAGAGGAGAGGUUAGAGCAAUCGAAGCUUUGAAUUUAAGCCCCAGUAAACGGCGGCCGUAACUAUAACGGUCCUAAGGUAGCGAAAUUCCUUGUCGGGUAAGUUCCGACCCGCACGAAAGGCGUAAUGAUUUGAGCGCUGUCUCGACAAUGCACCCGGUGAAAUUGAAGUACCAGUGAAGAUGCUGGUUACCUGCGCCAGGACGGAAAGACCCCAUGGAGCUUUACUCCAGUUUGAUACUGGGAUUCGGUUAUACAUGUACAGGAUAGGUGGGAGGCAGAGAAAUGAGGACGCCAGUCUUCAUGGAGCCGCUGUUGGGAUACCACCCUUGUGUGACUGGGUUUCUAACCUGCAUCCGUGAACCGGAUGGGGGACAAUGUCAGGCGGGGAGUUUGACUGGGGCGGUCGCCUCCGAAAGGGUAUCGGAGGCGCUCAAAGGUUCCCUCAGAAUGGUUGGAAACCAUUUGCAGAGUGCAAAGGCAUAAGGGAGCUUGACUGCGAGACCGACGGGUCGAGCAGGUAGGAAACUAGGACUUAGUGAUCCGGUGGUAUAAAGUGGGAUUGCCAUCGCUCAACGGAUAAAAGCUACCCUGGGGAUAACAGGCUUAUCACUCCCAAGAGUUCACAUCGACGGAGUGGUUUGGCACCUCGAUGUCGGCUCAUCGCAUCCUGGGGCU